GACGGAGGAGGCUAGCGUUGUUCGGAAUUACUGGGCGUAAAGCGCGCGCAGGCGGUCUUGCAAGUCAGGGGUGAAAGCCCGGGGCUCAACCUCGGAACUGCCUUUGAGACUGUGAGACUCGAGACCGAGAGAGGAGAGUGGAAUUCCCAGUGUAGAGGUGAAAUUCGUAGAUAUUGGGAGGAACACCGGUGGCGAAGGCGCCACUCUGGGCCGAAACUGACGCUGAGGAGCGAAAGCGUGGGUAGCAAACAGG
rnacentral:rRNA from 1 species